UUAUGGCCAUAUCACAUUAAAACACUGAUUCCUGUAUGAUUACCGAAGUUAAGCAAUGUCGAGCCUGGUCAGUACUUAGAUGGAUGACAACUCAGGAAAACCAGGUACU